rnacentral:lncRNA from 1 species
CUAAUUGCCAGAUAACCCCUGUGAAAAAAAAAACUCACCAACACCCCCUUGUGUUAACAAAGUCAAGGCAUCGACACCCCUGGACGCAAAUCGUGUCACUCACUCGCAGGUUGUGCGAUUUUUAAUGGUAUUUUUAGGGUGAAAUGUCAUAAAUACCCCUUUAUAAAAUAAAAAAUAAUCUUGCUGGUUAAAUUAUGAAUAACCUAAAUUUAUAGGACCAAAUUGUAAUUUCAAGAAUUGCAAAAUAAAAUAAUAAUGCAGAAAAAUAUUAUAAGAAAAGGGGUAAAUAGCAUUAAACCACCUGAACUUUUUACAUUUUUGCACAUCACCACCUGAACAAAUUUUUUUUGCAGGAAUUCAUCUGUACUCAAUUAAAUGUGCCACAUUACCCUUUUUUACCUGUUUGCAGGUCAAAAUGACCGGUUCUCGCCCCACGUGCGUUUCACAUGACAAAUACAAGGCUAUUGAUGUCUUUUCCCGUCCUAAAAUACUCAGCUCUAAUUCCUGUUGAAAUUCACACAUUCUCACACAUUUCAUUUCAUCCACUCUUCAUCGUUUUCUAGGGAAAAUCAAAUCAAAGUAAUUCCAAAUUACAAAAUCACAAGGGUGCUUGGUUCAGAAGAAAAUGAAUCAAAGUAAAUCCAAUUUCUUUUGUUCGAUUUGGUAAUCAGACGAAAAUGAGAAAAUAAACUAUUGUUUUAUAAUUUUUCAUAAAAUAAUAAAACCCCAAAAAAAAAAGCACUUUCAGACCCAAUCCCCUACCAAAACCCACCCAUACACCUACCCACCCAAAACAAAAAUUGAAACCACGUCGUAUCCAGAGGAUGGACUUGCCGUUAAAUUCAAGUCAUGAAGGGGCGGAAUUGGGUGAAGCAGUGUGGGGAUGGUGAUUAGAGAAACGAUAGGCUUAUUACCUUCGUGUUUGCUUUCUCCGGUGCAACGGUGGUUGGGUUGGUGGUUGUUGUUAUAGCAGCCACAUGCUAAUCCUUUUCCGGUUCCUCAUUUGGAGUGAGGCAGCGCCGGCAAUUGGGAACUACCACCGGCGGUGGUUGGGGUGACGGUUUUUGCAGCACCCGCCGCCGCCGCAUGCUAAUCUCUUUUGUUGGUUCCUCCUGUGGAGUGAGGCGGCAUCGGCAGAGGCGGCGAUGGGUAACUAGCACAACCAAAGAAAAGAAUAAGAAGAGAGGAAGUACAGGGGAAUGGAGAAAUGGAGGGAAGGGGAGAAUGAUAGACAAAUUAGAGAAAUAAAGGAGAAAAAU